rnacentral:rRNA from 1 species
GAACGCUGGCGGCGUGCCUAAUACAUGCAAGUCGAACGCUUUGUGGUUCAACUGAUUUGAAGAGCUUGCUCAGAUAUGACGAUGGACAUUGCAAAGAGUGGCGAACGGGUGAGUAACACGUGGGAAACCUACCUCUUAGCAGGGGAUAACAUUUGGAAACAGAUGCUAAUACCGUAUAACAAUGACAACCGCAUGGUUGUUAUUUAAAAGAUGGUUCUGCUAUCACUAAGAGAUGGUCCCGCGGUGCAUUAGCUAGUUGGUAAGGUAAUGGCUUACCAAGGCGAUGAUGCAUAGCCGAGUUGAGAGACUGAUCGGCCACAAUGGGACUGAGACACGGCCCAUACUCCUACGGGAGGCAGCAGUAGGGAAUCUUCCACAAUGGGCGAAAGCCUGAUGGAGCAACGCCGCGUGUGUGAUGAAGGGUUUCGGCUCGUAAAACACUGUUGUAAGAGAAGAAUGACAUUGAGAGUAACUGUUCAAUGUGUGACGGUAUCUUACCAGAAAGGAACGGCUAAAUACGUGCCAGCAGCCGCGGUAAUACGUAUGUUCCAAGCGUUAUCCGGAUUUAUUGGGCGUAAAGCGAGCGCAGACGGUUAUUUAAGUCUGAAGUGAAAGCCCUCAGCUCAACUGAGGAAUUGCUUUGGAAACUGGAUGACUUGAGUGCAGUAGAGGAAAGUGGAACUCCAUGUGUAGCGGUGAAAUGCGUAGAUAUAUGGAAGAACACCAGUGGCGAAGGCGGCUUUCUGGACUGUAACUGACGUUGAGGCUCGAAAGUGUGGGUAGCAAACAGGAUUAGAUACCCUGGUAGUCCACACCGUAAACGAUGAGUGCUAGGUGUUUGAGGGUUUCCGCCCUUAAGUGCCGCAGCUAACGCAUUAAGCACUCCGCCUGGGGAGUACGACCGCAAGGUUGAAACUCAAAGGAAUUGACGGGGACCCGCACAAGCGGUGGAGCAUGUGGUUUAAUUCGAAGCAACGCGAAGAACCUUACCAGGUCUUGACAUCCCUUGACAACUCCAGAGAUGGAGCGUUCCCUUCGGGGACAAGGUGACAGGUGGUGCAUGGUUGUCGUCAGCUCGUGUCGUGAGAUGUUGGGUUAAGUCCCGCAACGAGCGCAACCCUUAUUACUAGUUGCCAGCAUUCAGUUGGGCACUCUAGUGAGACUGCCGGUGACAAACCGGAGGAAGGUGGGGAUGACGUCAAAUCAUCAUGCCCCUUAUGACCUGGGCUACACACGUGCUACAAUGGCGUAUACAACGAGUUGCCAACCCGCGAGGGUGAGCUAAUCUCUUAAAGUACGUCUCAGUUCGGAUUGUAGGCUGCAACUCGCCUACAUGAAGUCGGAAUCGCUAGUAAUCGCGGAUCAGCACGCCGCGGUGAAUACGUUCCCGGGUCUUGUACACACCGCCCGUCACACCAUGAGAGUUUGUAACACCCAAAGCCGGUGGGGUAACCUUCGGGAGCCAGCCGUCUAAGGUGGGACAGAUGAUU